rnacentral:rRNA from 1 species
GACGAACGCUGGCGGCGUGCUUAACACAUGCAAGUCGAACGGAAAGGCCUCUUUCGGGGGGUACUCGAGUGGCGAACGGGUGAUUAACACGUGAGUAACCUGCCCUUGACUUUGGGAUAACUUCAGGAAACUGGGGCUAAUACCGGAUAGGAGCUCCUGCUGCAUGGUGGGGGUUGGAAAGUUUCGGCGGUUGGGGAUGGACUCGCGGCUUAUCAGCUUGUUGGUGGGGUAGUGGCUUACCAAGGCUUUGACGGGUAGCCGGCCUGAGAGGGUGACCGGCCACAUUGGGACUGAGAUGCGGCCCAGACUCCUACGGGAGGCAGCAGUGGGGAAUAUUGCACAAUGGGUGGAAGCCUGAUGCAGCAACGCCGUGUGCGGGAUGACGGCCUUCGGGUUGUAAACCGCUUUCGCUCAUGACGAAGCUUUGUGUGACGGUAGUGGGUAAAGAAGCACCGGCUAACUACGUG